GCCGUCGAAGGUAUGCUUAGUGAGGAGGGUGAAGUCGUAACAAGGUAGCCGUACUGGAAAGUGCGGCUGGAUCACCUCCUUU
rnacentral:rRNA from 1 species